GGCACUAUCCACUACGCUACCGACGCCCCUGCUGUGGUUAAUUUGAGCACCUCCAGACGCAGAAACUGCAGGUCUUGAUGAACAGGAUCACAAGGAGCAGAACGAUGGCAAGGAAGAAGGCCAGGACAUCCAGGCAGUGAUACUGGUACCAGAGGCAGAAACUGCAGGUCUUGAUGAAGAGAAAUACGAGAAGCAGAAUGAUGGCAAGGAGGAAGGCCAGGACAUCCAAGCUGUGAUACUGGUACCAGCCCUCAAAAGGAUCUGUCAUCGAUGUAGAGCCCCAAACUCUGUGACACAAACUGGCAAACACCUGUAAGGAGGAGUGUAAAAACAACAAUGGAAAAGGUGUUUCAUGGAAAGGUGAGUACACCAAUGUUUUAUGCUUUAAAAACAUCCAAAGUGUUUACUUUACAGCUUACACCAUCAGAUCAUUGUCUAUAUUUUUAAACUUUUAACAUGGGAGCACCUGGAUGUCAGGUGUUCCAGGUAGGAAAAGACAUAAAGAGAGAUUAUUCCAUAACUUCUUACCAGUGGGAACAUGUCUAAUUGCUUUGGUUUUAUGUUUUGUCCUGUCUUCACCAGCUGCAUGUCCAUGAUUCCCUCAGCCUGGAUGGGUCCAUGUUUAUCGUCUCCAGACCUCUGUCAGAUACGAGCUGUCCUGGGGUCUACUCCUUGAAUUGUGAAAUACACCUCCGGAGGCAGAAACUGCAGGUCUUGAUGACAAGAAAUAUGAGGAGCAGAACGAUGACGAAGAAGAAGGCCAGGACAUCCAAGCAGUGAUACUGGUACCAGCCCUCAAAAGGAUCUGUCAUCAAUGUAGAGCCCCAAACUCUGUGACACAAACUGGCAAACACCUGUAAGGAGGAGUGUAAAAACAACAAUGGAAAAGGUGUUUCAUGGAAAGGUGAGUACACCAAUGUUUUAUGCUUUAAAAACAUCCAAAGUGUUUACUUUACAGCUUACACCAUCAGAUCAUUGUCUAUAUUUUUAAACUUUUAACAUGGGAGCACCUGGAUGUCAGGUGUUCCAGGUAGGAAAAGACAUAAAGAGAGAUUAUUCCAUAACUUCUUACCAGUGGGAACAUGUCUAAUUGCUUUGGUUUUAUGUUUUGUCCUGUCUUCACCAGCUGCAUGUCCAUGAUUCCCUCAGCCUGGAUGGGUCCAUGUUUAUCGUCUCCAGACCUCUGUCAGAUACGAGCUGUCCUGGGGUCUACUCCUUGAAUUGUGAAAUACACCUCUGGAGGCAGAAACUGCAGGUCUUGAUGACAAGAAAUAUGAGGAGCAGAGCAAUGACGAAGAAGAAGGCCAGGACAUCCAAGCAGUGAUACUGGUACCA